UCAGAGGAGAAUUUCUUUUGCAUCUAUAAGCGAAUCUCCUUGGUAACCGAGCAGCCACGCACCGACUUGUCCUUCAAACUACGAGGACUGCAGGGUGGUGGAGAAGAGGAUCGAGGACUUCACUGAGUCACUCUAGAUCUUGCCCAAGUCCAAGAGGCUGGAUAGGACCCCUAAGAAGUCUGGGGACAAGAACCCCCUCCUCUGCAUCCCGUUUGAGAAGGAGGACAUCAUGGGACUGGACACAGACAGCAGGGCCCUGUGAUCUACACGCCCGC